AUUUCAGCAGAGAGCUUUAGGAGCUUUGUCCAUGUUCCUCCCAGGCCAUCUGGGACCAGAGUGGAAGGGCACUUUGGAAAUGCUAAGAAGGAUAUAUUUGGCUCAAUGACAGACACCCAACUUGAACUGGCUAAAGAAGAAAAGGAAAUCUAUUGGCUCCUAUAAUAGAAAGUCUCCUCCCGACGCCCCCCUCUCUCUCUCCCUCUCUCCCCUACACUCCCUCCAAUUUCCUCUUGUCCUGGCUCCACUCUCAGGCAACAUCACCCCCAUGGACACAAGAUGGCCCCCACAAGGUCUUGGUUUACAUCCAUUCAGCUCCCUUCACUCCUCAAGCUGAAGCUACCCAGGUCCCCCUCACUCCCCAAGAGUCACUCAUUGGCACACACUCAGAUGCAGAAGCUUCCUAUGCAAGGGUUGGCCAGGUGGCACCAGAGAGUGAAGUGUCAGCAAGCUCAACUUGAACCGUGAAUGGAACUAUCUCCCACAAGAACUAUCUCCUCACAAUCCCGGGGUCAAUGGUGUCCUUUAGGCCAGUGCAUGUUCAAGAUAUGUCUGAAAGAGGUUUGUGCUUGUUUGUUUGUUUACAAAUGGCUCUGCUCUUUCUAACAAUUAAAUAUGACAUCUCAAUGGUCAAUCAUUGUU